CAGCAUAUGGGACUGAAGGACCACAGAGAUGCAGCCCAAAGAUGAGCUUCUGGGGCCUAGAGCAGCUUCUAUGAGAUCUCAGAGCCUGGCAUGCUAGGGGCUCCCAUGGAGCCCAGAGAAGGUGCUAGAAGCCUGCGCAGAGCUCUGGAAGCCAGCCAGCCAGUCCAUGCAGACGAUGUGAUUCCUGGUAGGGGUCUUGGGUCAGCUGGGAUCACUCUACUUCCGGAGGGGCAGGAGACGAAGUCAGCCACAGGGGACACAUGACCAACAACCUCAACAAAAACCCUGGACACUAAGGCACAGAGCGCCAGCUCCUGGGAGCAGAGUACUGGUGUCUGGUUACCCUCUGCCCUGCGAAGCUACUCAUCCCUGUCCUGAAGACCCCACUGCUGAGGAUCUCCUGUAGUUUUGUGGAAGCGUGCAAAUGAAUCCGCCAUGCCCACAGUGCUGCCCACACGGGAGGACACUGUGUAUCUUCAACAACAACACACCACCUUGCAAGGACCUGCCAGAGAUGGAUGUGCACGAUUCAGGCCCCAGGGUGAUGUCAGUUCUGUUUCCUUCCCCAUGGAGGAGAGUCUUUUCCUGAGGACAGAUUCUUAGCUGGAAGAGGGCCAGGCCCAAGCCUGUCUGAAUUUCCUGCGUCUGAGCAUCUGGGGGAGCGGCAGACAGCUGAUGCUAGAAUUCCAGACGAGAUGAAGGAGAAAGCCUCAAUUUUUUAGCAACGUGAAGAAACGGGCUGUUCCGGGUGCUGCUCAGCCCCCAGCGGUCUCGGCGGGCGUCCCCAACCAGUGUCUGCAGACCCUGCCACCCAGGUCCAGCUCCCUGUCUCUCUCUGUGUUGGAUCUCUGGCCUCUUGAUGCACCUCCAAUUCUGUCUCUGUCUCUCUCUGUGUUGGUAUCUGUGUGCAUUCUUUCUCCAUCUCUCUACGUCUCUGAGAGUUCUUCCACGGGACAGCUCUGUCCUUGUGUCUCUGGAUCUGUCUGUCUCUCUCUCUCCACAUGUCUCUGGUUUUCUGUGUGAGCCAUUCUCUCCUUCAUUCACUCCUUCUACCUUUCCUGCUCCCUUUCUCCCCAGGUCAUCUCCAGAGUACACGUCCCAUGAUGAAAAGAUCUAGGACAAUGUGUGGUCCUCUCUCCGGGGCCACCAGGAAAGCAGGACACUUGUUCUGGCUUCACCCCUUCCUGGGGGGUAACCAGAUGCCAGGGCUCCUGACCCCAGAGAGCUGAUGCUAUAGGGGGACAGUCAGAGGAUAAAUAAGCAGGACAAAUGUAUAGCGUCAGGUCAUGCUAUGAAUCACAGAAUAAGGGGCUGCUACUUCAGAGGGGCACAGGAUGCCCUCCCAAUGACAUGACAUUUGAACAGGGACUUGAAUGCAUUGAGGAGUUGGUCCAUGUGAGUGUCUGGAAAAGAGAACAGCAUGUGCAAAGGCCCUGUGGUAGGACGCUGAAGCUGCCUUUCCUGGGCAGGAUACUUAUUGAACAGGACACAGCUCCUCCCUGGUUUCCUUGCUUAAGGCCACUGGCUUCCAGGGGCCUGGAAUUGGACUGUGUCAUGAAGUAAGGGCGCUUCAGAUUUCAACCUCUGGUCUUGCCAACUUAGUGACGGACAGGGCUGGGGCCCUCCUGGGGGAAGUCAGCAGGAGGACAUCACACACACACACACACACACACACACACACACACACACAAGUUGUGGACAGCUGGGGAGGGCAGGGACACCUGUCCUAUCUGGGGGCCUCAAGCUGGACUCUCCCAGACAGAGCUCCAGAACAUUCAGUAGGGACGGCCUUGGCCUCCUUCCAUCGGCUCAGUCUCCCCUGUCAUUCCCACACUACAGCGGGCUCCUGCGGCCCCAGGGGAAUAGAAGCCUCUUUGUCCACAUCAGCUUCAGUCAGGGGCCGUGGACAUAGCAAGGCCACUCGACAAUCCAGCCGCUGGUUGAAGCCCCACAUUGCAAGACAUCUGUGCACUUUCUUCAAACAUAGCAUCCAUGCUAAUAAGGCAAAUAAACACAGCAUUUAAAGAUCAGAGGCAGGGCAGUUACAGCCUAUUAAAUUAAAUUCACCGUCAAGGGUGAAAGAGAAGAUAAACUGGGAUUAUUCCAGUCAUGGCAAUUAAAAAAGAAAGAAAGAAAGAAAUAAAAAAGGAACAUUUAGAGAGAGAGAUGUAAUUUCUCAGUCCCCGAAGCAGUGACAGCAGCUGCCACGCCAGAGGCGGUGGUUUGGAAAGGCACCUCGACUCCCUCCUCGCCCAGGCAGCUCCCUCCUGAGUCUGUCACUGAACCCCAGAUCCUGGCACACACCCCGUCAGGCAAGGAGGUGGAAUCUCGUAGAACUACCUCUCUCUCUCUCUCUCUCGUAUAUUUUUUAUUGGAGUUCGAUUUGCCGACAUAUAGCAUUACACCUGGUACUCAUCCUGUCAAGAGCCCCCCUCAGUGCCCACCUCUCAAGCCCAGUGAGGCCGCUGCCAGGAGGUGGGAGGUGAGCAUGGCCUCCUUGGCCUCCCGCCUCCCUCGCCCUGCAGAGCCCUUUCUUUCUGGUGGCUCGUCCCAGGCCUUUCAGAGCUUCGCUCUCCCCACCUGGGCAGUGGGAAUGACAGGAAUGCCCUCCGUGUCUGCCUCAAGGUCCUCCUCUUGAUGUGAUGAGAAUAGACUUGAAAAUAUAUUCCCUGCCCUGACAGCCAUUCUCAUUUCCCUCAAACCUAUUCCCUGUCCCCACUCUGCUCUGAGCCACGGGAGCCCGACCCCACAGGCCCCCUGACCCAGGCCAUCACAUGUCCCAGUGGGCUCUGUGGGGGCAGGCUCUGUGGGGGCUGCAGGAGGGAGGGAGGGAGACACUGGGGUAUUUCUCCUUUGUUUCCUGUCUCCAGCAGAGUCUGUGCCUCUUCCCUCCAGCUCCUGCCCAGCAGGCUCACCCCGAUUCUGGCUCCUGCUGGGAGCCUGGAUCCUGAACUGCAGGAGAGCCACCAUCUCCCUUUGUCCCUCUGCUCUAGAAGUAGCAGCAAGUCCCUGAAUUCCUGGGGCAGCCCAUCGGCCUCACCUGUCUCUGUGUGCUUCAAGCAGAACUGAAGUCCUGCUUGGGCUUUGACAGAGGUGGCCUCCAAAGAAAUUAACAGUGACCCACAAGGUGCUAUUGUAUGGGUUCAGUGUGCCAUCACAGUCCCCGUGUCCUUCCCUGUCCUGCUCACAGCACGACAUGCACUGUGCAUGCAAUGCUCUUCCCCAGGACACAGCUUCCUGAUGAUUCACUUCUCGCCAGCCCAAAGGAUGUUAGCCCUUUCUUCCUUUCCAAUUUUGUUUUCUUUCUACAAUGUUCUCUAUCUUUUUUUUUUUUUAAUCAUUCCUCUGGGCCUCUCCUCAGAGCUCAGAUGCACAGUGCUGCCAAUUUUUUGUCCAUGCAAUGAAAGUCGCUUUGUUGUUUUGUUUCUGAUUAUAUGAAUCAUAUUUGUGCACUGUAGAAACCUGAAUGAUACAUACGUAUAGAACAGAAGAAGUGUAAAUGGUGUGAAAUUCCAUCACCCACAACUAUGGCAGAAGAGUCAGUGAGGGGACCGGUGACCACCCUUAUGCUCCCCUCUCUCCUGUUCCCCAUGACCUUCCUACAAGUUUUGUAAAAUUAAUCACCCCAACCCCAUCCACAAAACUUCCCUCCAUCCACACCCAGACAACAAAACCCAACCAAACAUCCCAGGGAGAACUCCUCAGAUCCUUCUCUGAGCUCCCAUACUUGCACACACACAGACCUCUGUGCGGCAGGCUUGUUUUGCUGUUGGUAGGUUUUGUUUCACAUUAAGCAAGAUAACAUUAUCUCCUACCCUCUAUCUUGCUUUUCUUGCUUACUAUAAUGUAUCUCAAUUAAGUGGAGGUAUAAAGGAACAUACCUAAACAUAACAAAGGCCAUAUAUGACAAGCCCACAACUGACACCAUUCUCCAUGGUGAAAUGCUGAAAGCUUUUUCUCUGAGAUCAGGAAUAAAACGAGGAUACCCAGUCUCGACACUUUUAUUUGACUUUAGUAUUAGAAAUCUUAGCCAGAGCAAUUAGGCAAGAUAAAGAAAUAAAUGGCAUCCAAGUCAAAAAAAGAAAAAAAGGGGCAUCCAAGUAGGAAAGAAAAAAUAAAUCUUUGAUUCUCUGCAGAUGACAUUAUAUUAUACAUAGAAAACCCUAAAGACUGAAUAAAAAAAAAAGUUAAAACCAAUAAAAGAAUUUAGUGAAGUUGCAGGGUACAAAAUCCAUACCCAAAAAUCUGUUGCAUUUCUAUUACUAAUAAUAAACUAUCAGAGAAAUUAAGAAAAUAUUCUCAUUAACAAUUGUGUCCAAAAGAAUAAAACGCUUCAGAAUAAAUUCAACCAAGGUGAUGUAAAGACCUGCUUAUUAAGAUGUUAAUAAAAGAAGUUGAGGAAGGCACAAAUAAAUGGAAAGAUAUACCAUGCUCAUGGAUUGGAAGAAUUAAUAUUAUUCAAAUGUCCAUACCCCCCAGAGCAAUCUACAGGUUUAAUGCAAUGCCUAUCAAAAUUUCAAUGACACUAAAAAGUAUAUAUAUAUAGCAAACAAUCUUAAAAUAUGUGUGGCACAAAAGACCCCAAAUAG